AAACUUGAGAGUUUGAUCCUGGCUCAGAACGAACGCUGGCGGCAUGCCUAACACAUGCAAGUCGAACGCCCUCUUUUAGAGGGAGUGGCGCACGGGUGCGUAACGCGUGGGAACCUGCCCUUA
rnacentral:ncRNA from 1 species